rnacentral:rRNA from 1 species
UACGGGGGGGGCAAGCGUUGUUCGGAAUUACUGGGCGUAAAGGGCUCGUAGGCGGCCAACUAAGUCGGACGUGAAGUCCCCAGGCUCAACCUGGGAACUGCGUCCGAUACUGGAUGGCUUGAAUCCGGGAGAGGGAUGCAGAAUUCCAGGUGUAGCGGUGAAAUGCGUAGAUAUCUGGAGGAAUACCGGUGGCGAAGGCGGCAUCCUGGACCGGCAUUGACGCUGAGGAGCGAAAGCCAGGGGAGCAAACAGG